AAAAUAAACAAGUCAGUCUAUUUUGCCGGAAAUUAAGGGACCAGGGCCUUUCCGUAACGCGGCGUCUCGAAUACAUGGGGAAACAACAGUGUCCGGGCCCCUCGGUCUUCAUUGGAUUUAAUUAUAGAGACACCAUUUCCAAGAAUACCUGAUAUAAAAACACGUAUAAAUCGAAUCUAAGUUCUCAAGCAAAAACUUGUGUAAUCAUGUUCUAUCGUUAAAGUUAACGACAUGGCUUUGUCUGCUGCAGCUUUCUUUCUUGGCAUGAGGACAGUUACGAACUUCGAUAAUAUCUUUCAGUCGGAAUAGAUGAAGAGUUUUCCCAUUGAAAACAGGAUAUUCACUCGAGAGCAAUUCGGCGCUCUCCUGGCUGAAAUAACUGUCAUAUAAACUUGAUAUAAUGCGGUCCGCGGCUGGCGGCAG